rnacentral:lncRNA from 1 species
CCAGCAUUCUAGAGUUUUCUUUCAGACAUCUUACAAAGAUUCAGUAUUUGUAUAUCAGUCAGUAUCCAGUCAAGAAACAGAAAUUACUCUAGAUAUUUCCAACAGAGGAGUUUAAUACAGGAAAUUUGUUACACUGACAAUGGGACAUCUGAGAAGAUGAACUCGAAAUGGAAAGAACAAAGUCAAGGCAGUGACGGAUGAUGAGCAUGGUUUUCUCAAAAAGGCUUUGCUUUCAUUCCCGGUGUGAAGAAAAGAAAAUGACUGUACAGUGAGAUGAGCCCUUCAACAGGUCACACGACGGUACUGCCGCUGCUCUCUGAAGCUGCAGUUGAAGGCACCAGGCGCUGUAGCUAUUAUGUUUUGAGCACUGGUAUUCUCACAAUCUAGUCUAGGAGAUAAUGAGUCUCUAUCUCUAUACUUGCCUUGGCCUAAUGAAAGCAAAGCGAAGACAGGAACUUUCCAAUCCCCUGAAUAGUUAUUGUUUCCCCAAAGCCAAUAUUCUCACUGAAGAGUGACGGGAUGUUAAUUGGAGAAUCAUGUUUUAUAUUUGCACUAGAUUUUGAGUGCCUUUUCUGUUCCAUUGUUUUAUGUGAUGCUGGGCGUUUGCUUAAGAAUGAUCCCAUCCUUCUGACAGCUGAGCAUCCUUACCUCUCUCUCCUUGCAUCACGCAACAACAAGCUCUGACACUUGGUGCUCUGAGAGCAGGAAGAAAGACGUUCACCAGACUGCAAGCUCAACGUGAUCAGAGACGGUGGCCUUUGUACCUCUAGCACCUCCCAAAAAAUAGGUGCUUAAUAAAUACGCUUAAGUAAAUGGAAGGAAGAGCUAUGCAGACAACUGCUUCUUUAGCACUGGGUGACAACUCCGAGAAGAUUUGGAGCGGAAUAACCACAUGGAACGUUACUUAUGUCGUUUCCAAAGGAGACUUGCUGAAGGUCCUUUGAUUUGAAGCUGUAUGACUUCAGGAAAUUGAUGUUUGGCCAGGAAUUUAAAGAUUGCUUUCUUUAUUGGGACUAUGAUCAUUGAAAGAAUGUUAUAUUUACAUUUGGGAAAUCUCUAAGUUGUUGGAAUUGUGCUAGUGGGAUUUCUAUGCAUUUCAUUAUUGGAUAUCGUUUGAUCUCUGAAAGACUAUGUUGGAUAACCCCGGACAUCAGGAGUACAAAGGUGCCUGUCGUUAUAGAAGAAUUUCCUAAAGACUCCCUUACCAAGACUCAAUUGUAAAACUGAGAUAAUUGCUCUAGGGCAAAAGAAAAAUCCUGUGGAACAGCAAAGGGUGGGAAUUCCACUAGAAAUGUUCUCCUCUAGGAUCAGACAGAGCCACUGGACGAUAUCUCUGAAAUGGGAUACCCACUGUAGUGUAUAAUUUAGCCAUCUCAAGAAAAGAAGACAGUAGGGUUUAGAGACCAACAGGAAAUCUAAACAAAGACAACUCACUUAACUGUGAAAUUGGUUGCUUGAUGGCUGGUGUGUCUCGACUGAAUCCACAUGUAAUCAUGCAUGGGAAUGGAAGAAUUUAGAAAAAAAAAAUAAG